UCUCCACCUCCGAAAAACAAAAGAAAAAAGCCAGAAAGCUCACCACUCGACUUAUUCCAGGAAUUACCAAUAGCAAAGAAGGAUGAUCCCAAGUAUCUCACAAUCAAAUCAAAGGAUGACAAAAAAACUAUCGCAUCCACCUCUUGCUUCGCAGUAUAUAAAGGUAUUCAAUCCAUUAGCAAAGACGUUAACAAGAUCACAUCUCUUCGAGAUGGCAGCCUACUACUGCUGGUCAAAAACCAAAAAAUUGCUGACAAAUUUCUUUCAACAAAAAAUCUUCCUGGUGCUGGUGCUGUUGAAAUUUCGCUUCAUAGCACUCUUAAUACCGUGAAGGGUACGAUUUACGCUCCUUACCAGCUAUCGUCCGAUUUCCCUUUUACCCUGCCUAGGAAAACUUUUAG